AUUGAACGCUGGCGGCAGGCCUAACACAUGCAAGUCGAACGCGUGGCGGACGGGUGAGUAAUGUCUGGGAAACUGCCCGAUGGAGGGGGAUAACUCCUGGAAACGGUAGCUAAUACCGCAUACCCUCGGAUGUGCCCCGAUGGGAUUAGCUUUUAGGUGAGGUAACGGCUCACCUAGGCGACGAUCCCUAGCUGGUCUGAGAGGAUGACCAGCCACACUGGAACUGAGACACGGUCCAGACUCCUACGUGAGGCAGCGGUGGGGAAUAUUGCAAAAUGGGCGCAAGCCUGAGGCAGCAAUGCCGCGUGUAUGAAGAAGGCCUUCGGGUUGUAAAGUACUUUCAGCGGGGAGGCGUUACCCGCAGAAGAAGCACCGGCUAACUCCGUGCCAGCAGCCGCGGUAAUAC
rnacentral:rRNA from 1 species